CAGAAACCUAGGAAAACGAAACUGCCAGUGGGGGACCACUGUAUUCCUGUUAUCAUACCCGUUUUGCACAGGGAGAAACCGAGGCUCCCAGAGGUUAAAAACCUGCCCAAGAUCACACAGGUAAGCAAGUGGCUGAGUCAGGGCUCCGACGCGGGCCCUGAAGCCCCAUCUCAGCUGCUGUGGAUAUUGCCUGCUGCAAGCUCACUGUGUCAGCACCCACCAAAGAUAUACGCCGUGGAAGGGCCCAGUGAGAAAGCAGUGACCAUGUUUUGGAUUUCUCUCCAGUUCAAAUUGACCUGGACAUCUUAUAUUUUAUCUGCUCUGUCUCUGGCCACGCUGCUGGGCAGGCUUGACCACACACAUCUGCGGAACUCUGGGUCUCCGCCGUACGAGUGGCAUAGACGCCAUCCUCAAUGCAGAUCCCCAUCAAACCUGGAAAAAAUAAAAUAAGGCCUCCCAGGCUCAGGCCAGCCCCUGUCGCGCCCCAGAGGUGGGCCUGCCCCUCUCCAGACCUCCAGGCUCUUCCUGCCUCCCUCAUGCCUCUGGUGGGCCUGGUGAGUGUGGCUGUUCUCUUUUGUCUGAGUACUCAUUGCCUGGAUUUUAUUACUUGAAUAAAUAUCAAAACAAAGAAGAAAAUCCUUCAACCAGCUCUGUCUUCAUUUUCCAC
ensembl:lincRNA